ensembl:lncRNA
UUUAAUUCUCAAUUCAAUUCAGUUUUAUUUAUAUAGCACCAAAUCACAACAACAGCCACCUCAAGGUGCUUUAUAUUGUAAGGUAGACGCUACAAUAAUACACACAGAGAAAACCCAACAAUCAUAUGACCCCCUAUGAGCAGCACUUUGGCGACAGUGGGAAGGAAAAACUCCCUUUUAACAGGAAGAAACCUCCGGCAGAACCAUGCUCAGGGAGGGGCGGGGCCAUCUGCUGUGAUUGGUUGGGGUGAGAGAAGGAAGACAGGAUAAAGACAUGCUGUGGAAGAGAGACAGAGGUUAAUAACAGAUAUGAUUCAGUGCAGAGAGGUCUGUUAACACGUGUUCAGUGAGAAAGCUGACUGGACAUGUUUAAUCCCAAGACUCAGUUUCAAUGAGCAUUAAUGGAAUUAAAGGUCUUGAAGGUCCCCUCCUGCCUAUCACAGUAACUGGUUUGAUUUAGUGUGAACACUGUUCUCAUAGAUUGGCACAUCACUUCUGAGUCACACCCUACAAAGCAGGAUUUCAGUUGUGGUCAGACAUUUCUGUCCAACCAUCGGCAUGAAGGUCAGAGUCAUUCUGGGCCUUUAAUGAAUUUUUUUUCACGUCAUGCUGAAGGUUCUACAGUAUCUUUGACCGUGAUUGACUAACAUUGGUAGUUUCUCUUUGCAGCAUAAAAAUGGCAGCACUCGUUGGACUGAUGAAUACUCAGAACAGUUUAAAAGUCCAAGUAACUCAGUGGAGAUCAGAACUGUCGAAGUGUGGAAGCUCUCUUGGAGCCAUUUCUAAACAACUGCAGAUCCCAAAAUCAAACAAUUCACAUUUGUGAAACAAACAAUUUUACGUAAGAACAAUAUGUAUGUAUUCUAGUGUGUCAUCCAAGUAACUUGGCUCUUCUUCUAGAACUUGCCAAACUGUCUUUUGGUAAAGUUUUGUACAGUCAGAUAAAACUACUGUACCAAGCAUGGUGGUGGAAGCAUCGUGUUCGGGGGCUGUUUUGGUACUGGUGACACUGGCAGAAGAAGAAGAAGGACCACCUCCAAAUUCUUUAACUUCACCUCAAAUCAAUGGCUAGAUGGAGAACAGCCAAGCCAACUUUAUUUAUAAAGCACGUUAAAAACAGUGAGCAUUCACAUGGAGUAGUCAUUUUUCUUUUUUUAUACUUAUACUUAAGUACUUAUACUAAGCCCUUUAAGACUGUACCUAAACAGUGACAAUAAACCAACUAAUUAAAAUCAAUUCUAAAAAUCAAAUAUCCACCAAGAAAAUGCCAGAAACUUGUUGAUGGAAACCAAAACUGUCUGAUCGAGGUGUAAUUUAACCAAAUGUUGGUAUAUUUGAGCCUCUAUGUUACCUUUGAACCUGUGUUGUUCCUGUAGACCCUGUAGAAAAAUUUAAACUUGUGCACCUAUUUCGUGUUUUUUUUAAAGUCAUUAAACUUCUGACCAUAACUGUAUGUCACUAACCGUCGUCUACACAUUAUUGUAACAGCUGUGGAGAGAACAGUGAUCUUUUAUUUCAGGAAUUUUGACCAAUUUGAAGUUUUGAUUUUGAACCGAAGAAGCGUUCGG